CCUUUAGAUAAUAAUAUCAAGUCUAAUCUGCCCGCUGGGAAUUGAAUGGCCGCGGUAUUUUGACCGUGCGAAGGUAGCAUAAUCCUUAGUUUUUUAAUUGAAAACUGGAAUGAAUGAUUGAAUGAGAAAAUAACUGUCUCAAGUUAAUUUUUUUAAAAAUUUAUUUUUAAGUUAAAAAGCUUAAAUAUUUUUAAAAGCCAAGAAGACCCUAUACAGUUUUAUAUUUAAUUUAGAUUAUAUUAAAUUGUUUUUAUUAUUAUAAUUUGUUUUAAUUAUUUUGUUGGGGUGACAAAAAAAUUUAAAAAACUUUUUUUUAAUUUUUAUACUAAUAAGUAAUUUAUUGAUCCAAUAUUUUUGAUUAUAAGAUUAAAUUACCUUAGGGAUAACAGCGUAAUUUUUUUUGAGAGUUCAUAUCAAAAAAAAAGGUUGCGACCUCAAUUUUGGAUAAAAAUUAAGUUUUGGUGUAGAAGCUAAAAUUUUAGGUCUGUUCGACCUUUAAAACUUU
rnacentral:rRNA from 1 species